CGCAGGCAGCGCUCCCGGCGGGGCGCCCCGCUCUGCGCCGUUCCCUCCGCCGUCGCCCAGCCACCGCCUUUCGCACGCGCCGGAACCGCUUUUGUGGUCUCCGAGACACUCAUUUGCUGUCCUGGUUUCCAAAGCUCCACGUGCUCAGCGCCGAAAACUUGCAAAUCAUUUGCUGUACAGAUGUUUAGGGGUCGCCUACUACGUCUAUACUGGGCGCCCGCUGCGUGCCAGGUACUGCCACCGGCUCUCUCCUCACGGUGGAAUAACUUAACAGAGAAGACAGACAUCAAUCAAAUACCCUGGAAACGUGGAAGGCAGGGGAAAGAACAAAGGGAGAGCAAAAUCGCCCCAAUCCCACAUCACCCGCGACGUGAAAGGAUUUGUCCUUCCAGCUGCGGGACUCCUAUUUGUUUAUUUCAACCCCGCGCCAGCUCCAGGCACAGCCGUUCAGGGUGAUGCCAAAGGGAAAUGAGAACGCCUGGUUUCGAGUGCCAGCCUGAGGCCCCUUAAGCCCUAGCCUGGCUCCAAAAACUGCAGCCUGUUUCCCUCAACAAAAAUGACGUCAAGAAUACCUAGAUGUGACCACACCGAACUUGCUUGCCCGUUUUGGGAAACCCAACUUUCUUCCUGAAUAGUCAGAACCUCUGGCUUUCCUGGUCUCUUAAGAACCGCAAACUAUUGAAAAGCAGAUGCGUCUUUCAGCCUCUUUAAUAAAUGCAGUAAGGAGAGUUGGGACAGAGUUACUUUCAGACUGUGGGGCUCCCCCGUGCCAAAGCAUUCAGACGAAAUGUGGGGGAUAGCGGGGGGAAGGCAGGCAAUUAUCUGAAUGUUAAACAGCUGAAUAUUUGGAAACCCCAAUCUUUGGCUGAUUUUUAAAAACCUUUUUCACACGUGUUCUCAUGUUUAA
rnacentral:lncRNA from 10 species